UGAUCAAUAUACCUAUAGUGCAUACAUUCUGAGAACGCACACGCUAUAUUUGCUCUAUGUAUCAACUUUCAUGUCGAACACUUGUCACAGAUCAAAUACGGCGAGUGCGUUCUCAAAAUGUAUGCAUUAUACAUUUGUUUUAGAUUUAAAUUUCAAUAUCGUCGCUUAAGUUCUAACACCACGUAAGCCAGUUUUGAUAUACCUAUUGAUGCGAUUCAUUAGACUCUGCUAGAGAGUGGAGAGAUGCGUCGUUUCUGGCAACCAGAAACAAGAAAACAUCCAAUAGAAGAAUAAAAAGUAACUGUACGGUAUACAUCAAACAUUCCAAACCUCUGAAUAGCAAGGUUUUGUGACUCUCCUGUAAAGAUGCUAAUUUUGACUUACGUAGUGAACUUACCGACGAAUCAUAAAGAGCCAAGCAACGACAACUUUUUUAAUACAGAUUAACUAAGAACUAAUGCAAUCGUAAAUGCACAAUCAGUUAAAUUUUAAAAACGUUAAUUUAACUAACUAAAAUUGAUUAAUCCGGUUAGCUAAAGGUUAAAAGGACUAUGCUAUUGAAUCACGACAUCAAUAGUCAA